rnacentral:lncRNA from 1 species
UGUCAACCUUCUUAAGCGGUGUUCAAUGACUCUCUCACAUAGCUUCAUAGUAUGGCUCAUCAGCUUGAUUCCAUGGUAAUUAGUACAACUUUGAACAUCCCCCUUGUUCUUAAAGAUUGGUACUAAAAUACUCCGCCUCCAUUCUUCGGGCAUCUUUUUUGACCGAAAGAUGAGGUUGAAAAGCUUAGUUAGCCAUACUAUCGCUAUGUCUCCAAGGCCUCUCCAC